rnacentral:rRNA from 1 species
CUACGGGAUGCUGCAGUCACGAAUCUUCCUCAAUGGACGAAAGUCUGAAGGAGCGACGCCGCGUGCAUGAUGAAGCCCUUUGGGGUGUAAAGUGCUUUUCUCUGGGAAGAAUUUUGACGGUACCAGAGGAAUAAGGGGCUGCUAAACUCGUGCCAGCAGCAGCGGUAAUACGAGUGCCCCGAGUGUUGUCCGGAUUUAUUGGGCGUAUAGCGUCCGCAGGUUGUUUGUUGCAUCUCUGGUUAAAUCUCAAGGCUCAACCUUGAGGCUGCGAGAGACAUGGACAGACUAGAGGCUGGCAGGAGGCAAACGGAAUUGCUGGUGUAGGGGUUAUAUCCGUUAAUAUCAGCAGGAACACCAAAAGCGAAGGCAGUUUGCUGGGACAGUCCUGACACUCAUGGACGAAAGCGUGGGGAGCGAAUGGGAUUAGAUACCCCUGUAGUC